rnacentral:rRNA from 1 species
GACAUCCAGAGAACUUAGCAGAGAUGCUUUGGUGCCUUCGGGAACUCUGAGACAGGUGCUGCAUGGCUGUCGUCAGCUCGUGUUAUGAAAUGUUGGGUUAAGUCCCGCAACGAGCGCAACCCUUAUCCUUUGUUGCCAGCGGUUCGGCCGGGAACUCAAAGGAGACUGCCGGUGAUAAACCGGAGGAAGGUGGGGAUGACGUCAAGUCAUCAUGGCCCUUACGGCCAGGGCUACACACGUGCUACAAUGGCGCAUACAAAGAGAAGCGACCUCGCGAGAGCAAGCGGACCUCAUAAAGUGCGUCGUAGUCCGGAUUGGAGUCUGCAACUCGACUCCAUGAAGUCGGAAUCGCUAGUAAUCGUAGAUCAGAAUGCUACGGUGAAUACGUUCCCGGGCCUUGUACACACCGCCCGUCACACCAUGGGAGUGGGUUGCAAAAGAAGUAGGUAGCUUAACCUUCGGGAGGGCGCUUACCACUUUGUGAUUCAUGACUGGGGUGAAGUCGUAACAAGGUAGGCGUAGCGAG